rfam:Schistosoma curassoni strain Dakar, Senegal genome assembly, scaffold: SCTD_contig0013445
UUAAAGGCUUUUUUCAGAGCCACCCACAAAUUGAUUUAAAUUCAUU